rnacentral:snRNA from 1 species
AUCCUUGCCUGGCAGGAGAACAAUAACGUUCACAAAAGUGGGUUCUCCUGGUAAGGUGAUUCACUUGCUCUCCUGUUACUGACUCCUGUUACUUCCCCAGGUGUGGAAAACUAGAUGGCACAUUUGAGGUGGAGAGGACUGCACACACUCCUGG